GAGAGAGAGAGCAGACCACAGCCCCCGGCAUUAUGACUAGCCUGUCUUUGUCUACCCACCCGGACCAUACUAUCCGAAUGUAGAUCGCUGGUACUGCAGUUUAAAGGUCACCUGGGACAUGCGCAAAACCAUGUAAACGCCUGCAUGACAUCGACCAGCUGAAGGACCAACCAGACAGACAACCAGCAAAGUAAGUUCAAGUCUAUUUUGAUUCAACAUUCUUGACAGACAAUGGU